rnacentral:tRNA from 1 species
GACCCUUUCAUCUAGUGGCCAAGGAUAUUGCGUUUUCAUCGCAAAAACAAAGGUUCAAAUCCUUUAGGGGUCGCCA